UACGUAGGUGGCAAGCGUUGUCCGGAAUUAUUGGGCGUAAAGCGCGCGCAGGCGGUUUCUUAGGUCUGAUGUGAAAGCCCCCGGCUUAACCGGGGAGGGUCAUUGGAAACUGGGAGACUUGAGUGCAGAAGAGGAAAGUGGAAUUCCAAGUGUAGCGGUGAAAUGCGUAGAGAUUUGGAGGAACACCAGUGGCGAAGGCGGCUCUCUGGUCUGUAACUGACGCUGAGGCGCGAAAGCGUGGGGAGCAAACAGG
rnacentral:rRNA from 1 species